rnacentral:rRNA from 1 species
UUCCGGUUGAUCCUGCCGGAGGCUACUGCUAUUGGGAUUCGACUAAGCCAUGCGAGUCAAGGUGUCUUCGGACGCCGGCAUACGGCUCAGUAACACGUAGGUAACCUACCCUCAGGACUGAGAUAACCCCGGGAAACUGGGGCUAAUAUUAGAUAGAUAAAAGAUACUGGAAUGUUCUUUUAUCCAAAGCUUUUGCGCCUGAGGAUGGGCCUGCGUCCGAUUAGGUUGUUGGUGGGGUAAUGGCCCACCAAGCCUACGAUCGGUACGGGCAGUGGGAGCUGAAGCCCGGAGUUGGGGACUGAGACAAGGCCCCAGGCCCUACGGGGCGCAGCAGGCGCGAAACCUCUGCAAUGCGGGAAACCGUGACAGGGGGAUCCCAAGUGCUCAUGCAUUGCAUGGGCUGUUCUUUGGUCUAAGUAACCAGAGGAGUAAGGGCUGGGCAAGACCGGUGCCAGCCGCCGCGGUAAUACCGGCAGCUCAAGUGGUAGCCGCGAUUAUUGGGCCUAAAACGUUCGUAGCCGGAUAAGUAAGUCUUUGGUUAAAUCCUGCGACUUAACCGUGGGAAAUCUAGAGAUACUGCUUGUCUUGAGACCGGGAGAGGUUGGAGGUACUCCUAGGGUAGGGGUGAAAUCCUGUAAUCCUAGGGGGACCACCUGUGGCGAAGGCGUCCAACUGGAACGGGUCUGACGGUGAGGGACGAAACCUAGGGGAGCGAGCCGGAUUAGAUACCCGGGUAGUCCUAGGCGUAAAUGAUGCGAGUUAAGUGUGGGGGCAUCUACGAGAUGGCCCUGUGCUGUAGGGUAGCCGUUAAACUCGCUGCCUGGGGAGUACGGUCGCAAGGCUGAAACUUAAAGGAAUUGGCGGGGGAGCACCACAAGAGGUGGAGGCUGCGGUUCAAUUGGAGUCAACGCCGGA